AGCAGUCGCCACGGUAAUACGAAGGGUGCAAGCGUUAAUCGGAAUUACUGGGCGUAAAGCGUGCGUAGGCGGUUUGUUAAGUCUGCUGUGAAAUCCCCGGGCUCAACCUGGGAAUGGCAGUGGAUACUGGCAAGCUAGAGUGUGUCAGAGGAUGGUGGAAUUCCCGGUGUAGCGGUGAAAUGCGUAGAGAUCGGGAGGAACAUCAGUGGCGAAGGCGGCCAUCUGGGACAACACUGACGCUGAGGCACGAAAGCGUGGGGAGCAAACAGGAUUAGAUACCCCGGUAGUCCCUGUCUCUUAUAA
rnacentral:rRNA from 1 species